rnacentral:rRNA from 1 species
AAGGGCUCGCAGGCGGUUUCUUAAGUCUGAUGUGAAAGCCCCCGGCUCAACCGGGGAGGGUCAUUGGAAACUGGGGAACUUGAGUGCAGAAGAGGAGAGUGGAAUUCCACGUGUAGCGGUGAAAUGCGUAGAGAUGUGGAGGAACACCAGUGGCGAAGGCGACUCUCUGGUCUGUAACUGACGCUGAGGAGCGAAAGCGUGGGGAGCGAACAGGAUUAGAUACCCUGGUAGUCCACGCCGUAAACGAUGAGUGCUAAGUGUUAGGGGGUUUCCGCCCCUUAGUGCUGCAGCUAACGCAUUAAGCACUCCGCCUGGGGAGUACGGUCGCAAGACUGAAACUCAAAGGAAUUGACGGGGGCCCGCACAAGCGGUGGAGCAUGUGGUUUAAUUCGAAGCAACGCGAAGAACCUUACCAGGUCUUGACAUCCUCUGACAAUCCUAGAGAUAGGACGUCCCCUUCGGGGGCAGAGUGACAGGUGGUGCAUGGUUGUCGUCAGCUCGUGUCGUGAGAUGUUGGGUUAAGUCCCGCAACGAGCGCAACCCUUGAUCUUAGUUGCCAGCAUUCAGUUGGGCACUCUAAGGUGACUGCCGGUGACAAACCGGAGGAAGGUGGGGAUGACGUCAAAUCAUCAUGCCCCUUAUGACCUGGGCUACACACGUGCUACAAUGGACAGAACAAAGGGCAGCGAAACCGCGAGGUUAAGCCAAUCCCACAAAUCUGUUCUCAGUUCGGAUCGCAGUCUGCAACUCGACUGCGUGAAGCUGGAAUCGCUAGUAAUCGCGGAUCAGCAUGCC